CAGAGCUAUAGCUUGGGGGUAGAGCAUCUGCCUUGAAUGCAGAAAGACCCAAGUUCAAUACCUGGUUCCUUGG